rnacentral:rRNA from 1 species
AUUGAACGCUGGCGGCAUGCCUUACACAUGCAAGUCGCACGGUAACAGGUCUUCGGAUGCUGACGAGUGGCGAACGGGUGAGUAAUACAUCGGAACGUGCCUAGUAGUGGGGGAUAACUACUCGAAAGAGUGGCUAAUACCGCAUGAGAUCUUCGGAUGAAAGCAGGGGAUCGCCAGACCUUGUGCUACUAAUGCGGCCGAUGGCAGAUUAGGUAGUUGGUGGGAUAAAAGCUUACCAAGCCGACGAUCUGUAGCUGGUCUGAGAGGACGAUCAGCCACACUGGGACUGAGAAACGGCCCAGACUCCUACGGGAGGCAGCAGAGGGGAAUUUUGGACAAUGGGCGAAAGCCUGAUCCAGCAAUGCCGCGUGCAGGAUGAAGGCCUUCGGGUUGUAAACUGCUUUUGUACGGAACGAAAAGCCCCGGGUUAAUACCCUGGGGUCAUGACGGUACCGUAAGAAUAAGCACCGGCUAACUACGUGCCAGCCGCCGCCGUAA